CUUACUGUUAAUUUUAGGAGAUAUAUGUAAAAUAACAUCUCAUUUUUGCUAUGUAUCAUUUCACUGUUAAAUAACACCCCAUUUUUGUUAUUUAACACCUCAUUGUUAAAUAACGUCUUAUUUUUGUUAUUUAACACCUCAAUGUUUUCUGUUCAUACGCGAAUGUCUUUGUUAUCGUGGGUAUAAUAGUCUUUUUUACCCUAUUAAAACACUCCGGAUUUUACUCGAGACGACAUUUAUUGAGUAACUGCGCUCCGAAUGUGUGUGUGUCUCCUGUUCUUUUUGAAACCGGUGUAAAUAUCCGUAUGACACGCAGCACGGCAGGCGCCACUUUAUUUGGCGGCACUAUUUGAAAUAACAUGUUCAUACUGUAUUUUUUUGCAUCCUGUGAAGUAACGUUAGCGUAGAAGGCGGCAUUUUAACCAGCAACGAACACGGAGAACCAUGUCGGAAGAUCGCGGUCAUUGACCAAAAUCACAAAAAUCAGAUGCUGAUCACACUGCUGUUCAAGAUAUCCAAGGAUUUAUAUCUCAGAACCAGGAGGAAAUUUGAAUGGUUUCUUACUUGCUUAAAGAAUGAGACGUUUUAUCUACAUACACAGAGGGUCCCCUUACAUGGAAGCCGCCAUUUUGUGCAGCCAUGUUUCUACAGAAGUCCUUACAGACAAACUUUUUUACUAAGUUGUCUCCGACAAUGGCAUGUUUGUCCGGUAGCGGCUACAGUAGCUUCUCUGUGUGUUACAAAAGCAAGAGGGAUAUGCCAUUGCAGCUGACCUUGAGAGUUCACUCUCUAUACCUGCAACUCCUCGUCUGAUACUUCUUGGAGAAACGAGAAGCCGCUUCCAGUGCUGGAUGCUCAGCCUUGAGGGCCAAAUUUGCGAAGGGAUCCAGUCCACCUUUGUGACAGGGCUUGCGUCUUUAACCAAGAGCAGGCAGCCUGCACGCUUGAAUUCAUCCAGAGACACGUUGAGGGUAUAAACCCAGAAAAAGGGACAAAUGCUGCAAAGGGGGAGCAAGCUCAUGGACUUUCAGUGGGAUUUCAUUUGAAAAUUGUGAAUAAGAACCCAAGACUUCGCAAAGAAUCCUCAUUGUGUGCUUUGAGAAAAUGGUUAGUGGUCUAAGCAGUGACACUGUUUUUUUAUUUGUUUAUUUUGUUUAUUGUUCUUUAUUGAUGAUGAGUUAAGUAUCAGUUUGAAUGUAUUCAUACAUGUUGAAUUUUAGUGGUUUAGGUAACACUAUGUUUUGAGGGUCAGAAAUUUUUAUAAUGAACAAUGUAUUUGGGUGUAAAAUGAAUUUGCUACUUUUUAAGCUAUGAACAUGAGAAAAUGAGAUUUGAUUGUGAUUAAUCUGAGCCUAUGUGUAACAUUUUUAUGUGACCAGGAGUCAAGAGUGUAUAUCCUUGGUUUGAGUCUUUUUAUUAGAAUUUUAGCAAUUCAUGGAACAUUAAAAAUCGAGGUUUAGGGCCCUAUCUUGCACUGACACAGUGCAAAGCCAAACGCAAGUGUCUCUGCUAGUUUAAGACAGACGCAGUUGUUAUUUUCCAUCCAGCGACCACUGUCAGCAAUGAACAUGAUAUACAAUAUAUUUCUGUGAUUUGUCUGAUUCAUGUGUGCCUUCAUUUGUAAGUAUUUACCUUUCAGUGUUUGUAUUACAAUAAAAAAGUAAAUUUCAA